rnacentral:lncRNA from 1 species
UGGUCUAAAAUUUAACAGCUCAUCCCAUAAAAUCUUCAGUUGGGUAAAAUAUUUGUUUACGGAAUGCAUACCUUGCUUUAAUGAACAAAUCUCCUCUUGUAGAUCAGGAAUCCUUACCAAAUCUCCUUGAGAAAACCUAUCCUGGAUAUCCUUUCAGAGGUCCUUCGCAUAAUCAAUUCAAAUGACGGACUGAGCUAUGGAAGGAGACAGUGUUCCCAUAAUCUAGGACGGAACAAUGGUGUUACAACGCUCGCACGCUCCAUAAUUUGAAUCUUCCUCGCUCGGAACAGGAAUUGAUCC